GGUUGAUCCUGCCAGAGGUUACUGCUAUCGAGGUUCGACUAAGCCAUGCGAGUCGAAUGUAGCAAUACAUGGCGUACUGCUCAGUAACACGUGGACAACCUGCCCUUAGGACGGGUAUAAACCCGGGAAACUGGGUAUAAUUCCCGAUAGGUCUCGUCUGCUGGAAUGCAUCGAGAUCCAAAGCUCCGGCGCCUAAGGAUGGGUCUGCGGCCUAUCAGGUAGUAGUGGGUGUAGCGUACCUACUAGCCUACGACGGGUACGGGUUGUGAGAGCAAGAGCCCGGAGAUGGAUU
rnacentral:rRNA from 1 species